rnacentral:miRNA from 1 species
ACUUUCCUUGCAGGUAACAAAAAAGAGCGGGGCUGCUGUCAAACCAGCGGCCCCGCUCUUUUUUGUUACCUGCAGCUACGC